AGAGUUUGAUCCUGGCUCAGAUUGAACGCUGGCGGCAUGCCUUACACAUGCAAGUCGAACGGUAACAGGUCUUCGGAUGCUGACGAGUGGCGAACGGGUGAGUAAUACAUCGGAACGUGCCCGAGAGUGGGGGAUAACGAAGCGAAAGCUUUGCUAAUACCGCAUACGAUCUCAGGAUGAAAGCAGGGGACCGCAAGGCCUUGCGCUCACGGAGCGGCCGAUGGCAGAUUAGGUAGUUGGUGGGAUAAAAGCUUACCAAGCCGACGAUCUGUAGCUGGUCUGAGAGGACGACCAGCCACACUGGGACUGAGACACGGCCCAGACUCCUACGGGAGGCAGCAGUGGGGAAUUUUGGACAAUGGGCGCAAGCCUGAUCCAGCCAUGCCGCGUGCAGGAUGAAGGCCUUCGGG
rnacentral:rRNA from 1 species